AUGUCAAGAAGUAAUUUACAGGGGCGUCAUUGUGACGUCGGGUUGGAAUUCUGCUCUAUCGUUGGCUGUGGGACCUGGGAGGAGAUUCUAAACCUUUCUGUGCCUCAGUGUUCUCAUCUGUGAAAGGAGGAUGAUGGACAGGAGUCUGACAAGCUGCUCCCAGGCUACAAGCAGCAGGCUGACAGCGUGCAGUUCCUGCCUGCUUUCCCGUAAGCUCCGGCCGCACUGUGCGUGAGGGGGUGCCUAGCGCCCCCGGGGAGGACAACGUUUUGUUACAGAGGCUUACGAUGAUGAAUACGAUUCUCAACUCUUGCCUUUUGCCAAGCUAUAGCUUUAACACUUAAAGAAGUGGCCUGAGCCUUUCUCAUUUCCCCCAAUAAAUAUAUUGAACAGC